GACAGAGGCCCCAAGCGUUAGGCGGAAUCACUGGGCUUAAAGCGUGUGUAGGCGGACGCCUAAGUGUCUUGUGAAAUCCCACGGCUCACCCGUGGAACUGCUGGGCAUACUGGGCGUCUUGGGCCAACUAGGGGCAGCCGGAACAAGCGGUGGAGCGGUGAAAUGCGUAGAUAUCGUAAGGAAGACCAGUGGCGAAGGCGGGUCUCUGGACAGUUCCUGACGCUGAGGCACGAAGGUCAGGGGAGCAAACGGG
rnacentral:rRNA from 1 species